GGCCAGCAGGAAGGUCAGAGACAUCAGCCUCAGGAGAAAGCAUUUCGGAUCCCAUAGGCUAUUUUGUCAGAGCUGAGAGCUGAUGGGGAAAGAGAGAGAAAGAUGUCUGGAGGGCAUGGCUAAGAAGAACGGUUGGUCUGAGCUCGGGUACCUGAGCCGCCCAGAGGUUCUGAAGGAAGAAGGCUGCUGCUCUGCUGUCAGCUUCGCCGGGUGGCCUCGUAGAUUCCGAAGCCGGCCAGAAACCCACGCUGCCUCCGUGAGCCCUCUCAAAGGCUGAGGAAGACGGACAUGACUAUACCCACCUCCUUGGAUUGUUGUGAGGGCACAAAACAUAAUAAAUGUUAAGUGCUGAGCCCAGUGCCUGGAAUUCAAUUACAGCAGCUGGUUAAACAGAGAGCCUCAUAAAUAGAAGCGAGGCCCCAGAUAGCUACAGAUGGCAAGAAGCGUGCCCAGGCAGCGGCUCUUCCAAGGAGGUACAAGGGGUGGAUCUGUCAAGGCCAUCAAAGUUGUCUCGGGGCUCCCGGCCACUGGAGACUGUUCCAAACUGAUGAUUCCAAAUCCAUAUGCAUCCACUUAGCUUUCUAGAGACCGAGGCCUUCUGCAGUUAUAGCAAACAACCAUGAAUGUGAAGCUCCAAGCAGGGAACACAGGGCAAAAAGGGUUGGGAAUUCUCUAGGGCUGAUGCUGACUUGUCUUGAAAAAUCAAAAUGAACUUUCUUCUUCAAA